GAGGAAAAGAAACUAACAAGGAUUCCCCUAGUAACUGCGAGUGAACCGGGAAGAGCUCAAAUUUUGAAUCUGGCGGUCUUUAGGUCGUCCGAGUUGUAAUCUAGAGAAGCGUCUUCCGCGCUGGACCGUGUAUAAGUUUCCUGGAAAGGAACGUCGUAGAGGGUGAAAAUCCCGUCUUUGACACGGACUCCCAGGGCUAUGUGAUGCGCUCUCGACGAGUCGAGUUGUUUGGGAAUGCAGCUCAAAUAGGGUGGUAAAUUCCAUCUAAAGCUAAAUACAGGCGAGAGACCGAUAGCGAACAAGUACCGUGAGGGAAAGAUGAAAAGAACUUUGGAAAGAGAGUUAAACAGUACGUGAAAUUGCUGAAAGGGAAACGCUUGAUGUCAGUCGCGUCGGCCGGGGAUCAGCCUUGCUUAACUGCGAGGCGUACUUCCUGGUAGACGGGUCAGCAUCAGUUUUGACCGUCGGAAAAGGGCUCGAGUAAUGUGGCACUCUUUCGGGAGUGUGUUAUAGACUUGGGUCGCAAUAUGAUGGUUGGGACUGAGGAACUCAGCACGGCCUUAGGGUAUCGGGGCUUUGGCCCACGUUCGCGUGCUUAGGAUGCUGGCAUAAUGGCCUUAAGCGACCCGUCUUGAAACACGG
rnacentral:rRNA from 1 species